AGCUCGGUAGCUUAGUUGGUAAAGCGCUCGCAUAUAAGAGUCCUGGGUUCGAAUCCCAGCCGAGCAC
rnacentral:tRNA from 1 species